rnacentral:lncRNA from 1 species
GGCGGGCGCAGCGAGCGCGCGCGGCCCGCCCCCUCCUUCCUCUCUGUGGUGGCUUGUGGGCGGCAUGGCGGCCGGGCCGAGGGCGAGCAUGGCUUGGUGUUGAGCAAAGGUAAAACCACUCACCUGCCUGAGAAGCGGCUGCUCUGUCAGUUUCUGCACCGACACCAAACCCACACCAGCUGCAUGAUGAAGAUCAAUAACGUUGGCUGACAGGCUGAGCUGGCAAACUUGAUGAGCGUGGACUUCCUUAAGAAAUCAAGCUCUAGAAGCAGCAGAGGGAAGGUUGUUCUGGAGUGGGUCUCGCAAGUGGCCACCGAGAUGUCAUUCAGAAGGGUGUAAAACAGCCACCUGCGUGGGACUGUGGGCUCCUCGCUGCUCAGGGGCUGCUGCAACCACAUCCUGGGACCUGAUCUACAGCUGGCUGGAGGAAAAAGUGGUUCCCUGCGUUCUUCUGUUCCAGAAUAAAAUAAGUUAUGGGAAAUCUUGGGAGCUGAAGUUGGGUUUUUUGUGGUGUUGGUGUGGUUUUUUGGUAAAGGUUGUCUAUUUGAGCAGGUAGAAAGGAUUUGGGGUUAAAAUGCUUUCUGAAAUUCAAGCAGUUGUGGGCUUACCCUUCACAGCAAAACCUGCUGCUCCCCGAUACCUAAAGACUUGAGUGUCUGCAGACACUGAAAGUUGAGGACAAGCAAUUUGUGAUAACAGCGUGACAAAACUAGUGAUGGGUGAGCCAGGACUGGUGACAGAAAUGGCUCUAGUGGUGUGUGUGGAAGCUGAGAGUGGGAAGAAGUGAGAGGCAGCAGGUUCUUUGUGUG